UACGUAGGGUGCAAGCGUUAAUCGGAAUUACUGGGCGUAAAACGUGCGCAGGCGGUUUUGCAAGACAGAUGUGAAAUCCCCGGGCUCAACCUGGGAACUGCAUUUGUGACUGCAAGGCUAGAAUCUGGCAGAGGGGGGUAGAAUUCCACGUGUAGCAGUGAAAUGCGUAGAUAUGUGGAGGAAUACCGAUGGCGAAGGCAGCCCCCUGGGCUAAGAUUGACGCUCAUGCACGAAAGCGUGGGGAGCAAACAGG
rnacentral:rRNA from 1 species